rnacentral:rRNA from 1 species
UACGGGGGGGGCAAGCGUUGUUCGGAAUUACUGGGCGUAAAGGGCGCGUAGGCGGCUUGAUAAGCGUGCGGUGAAAGCCCGGGGCUCAACCCCGGGUCGGCCGUGCGAACUGUCGAGCUGGAGCACUGUAGAGGCAGGUGGAAUUCCGGGUGUAGCGGUGGAAUGCGUAGAGAUCCGGAAGAACACCGGUGGCGAAGGCGGCCUGCUGGGCAGUGGCUGACGCUGAGGCGCGACAGCGUGGGGAGCAAACAGG